rnacentral:rRNA from 1 species
CCUACGGGAGGCAGCAGUAGGGAAUAUUGCUCAAUGGGGUAAACCCUGAAGCAGCAACGCCGCGUGGAGGAUGAAGGUUUUCGGAUUGUAAACUCCUUUUGUUAGAGAAGAUAAUGACGGUAUCUAACGAAUAAGCACCGGCUAACUCCGUGCCAGCAGCCGCGGUAAUACGGAGGGUGCAAGCGUUACUCGGAAUCACGGGGCGUAAAGAGCGCGUAGGCGGGAUAGCAAGUCAGAUGUGAAAUCCUAUGGCUUAACCAUAGAACUGCAUUUGAAACUGUUAUUCUAGAGUAUGGGAGAGGUAGGUGGAAUUCUUGGUGUAGGGGUAAAAUCCGUAGAGAUCAAGAGGAAUACUCAUUGCGAAGGCGACCUGCUGGAACAUAACUGACGCUGAUGCGCGAAAGCGUGGGGAGCAAACAGGAUUAGAUACCCCAGUAGUC